rnacentral:tRNA from 2 species
GCCAACCUAGCUCAGCUGGCAGAGCAACAGUUUCGUAAAUUGUAGGUCGAGGGUUCGAGCCCCUUGGUUGGCU